AACAAACUCAGUUAGUUAUUGGUAUGAGCUUUCAUGUGCAUGCACACUUCUUCUGACACUGAAGAAGUGUGCAUGCACAUGAAAGCUCAUACCAAUAACUAACUUAGCUGG